rnacentral:rRNA from 1 species
CGGGUGAGUAACGCGUGGGUAACCUGCCUCACACAGGGGGAUAACAGUUAGAAAUGACUGCUAAUACCGCAUAACCCGAUAGGAUCGCAUGAUCCAGACGGAAAAGAUUUAUCGGUGUGAGAUGGACCCGCGUCUGAUUAGCUAGUUGGUGAGGUAACGGCCCACCAAGGCGGCGAUCAGUAGCCGGCCUGAGAGGGUGAACGGCCACAUUGGGACUGAGACACGGCCCAA